rnacentral:rRNA from 1 species
UACAGAGGUGGCAAGCGUUGUUCGGAAUUACUGGGCGUAAAGGGCGAGUAGGCGGCCUUCUAAGUCAGACGUGAAAUCCCCCGGCUUAACCUGGGAACUGCGUCUGAUACUGGGAGGCUUGAGUAUGGGAGAGGGAUGUAGAAUUCCAGGUGUAGCGGUGAAAUGCGUAGAUAUCUGGAGGAAUACCGGUGGCGAAGGCGGCAUCCUGGACCAUUACUGACGCUGAGACGCGAAAGCGUGGGGAGCGAACAGG